UCUCUCUUAUUUCGCCGACUCACUGCCCUAUUCUCUCACUCCACCCUCUCACGUUCUCACUCUGCCACUUCGCCCCCUGCCCUCCCACGAUUUCUCACUUCAGCAUCAGCCCUCCAUCCUCUCACGAUUUCUCACUCUAUCUCUAAUUUCAGAACAAUAUGAAGUAGCUCGAGCUCUCUCCACGUUGAAUCAAUGGCAAUCAUCUAGAGAAAUACUGUGAAGGAGUUGAAGAAUGUUGGUGGUACCUUGUCAUCAUUCAAAUCCAAUGAAUCAGACCUUGGGUUAAACUAAACUUUUGAGGAUUUCGAUAAAUGUUACAAAAAGGGCUCAAUUUUAAGUACAAAAUUUGAAUUACGUAAAUAUCUUGAUGAAGAAAACUUGAGAGAACAAGAGUUAGACAUUCUUUCUCGGUGGAAAAUAGAACAAUUUCAUUAUCUUGUCCUUUCUCGACUCUCGUUUGACUUGUGAUGUAUUAACAAUUCUUGUUUCUAUCGUCACCUCAUAAUCAGUAAUUAGUAUUGGUGCUAGAGUGAUCGAUCAAUAUCGUAGUUCUUUAUUGCCUGAAACUGCUCAAGCAUUGUUAUGUAUUAGAGAUUGGCUU